CACAAGCGGUGGAGUAUGUGGUUUAAUUCGAUGCAACGCGAAGAACCUUACCUGGUCUUGACAUCCCGGAGACCCUUAGGAAACUAGGGGGUGCUUCCAUCUGGAAGAAUCUGGAGACAGGUGCUGCAUGGCUGUCGUCAGCUCGUGUCGUGAGAUGUUGGGUUAAGUCCCGCAACGAGCGCAACCCUUGCCUUUAGUUGCCAGCAGUUCGGCUGGGCACUCUAAAGGGACUGCCGGUGUUAAACCGGAGGAAGGUGGGGAUGACGUCAAGUCCUCAUGGCCUUUAUGACCAGGGCUACACACGUACUACAAUGGCCGAUACAAAGGGCAGCGACACUGCGAGGUGAAGCCAAUCCCGUAAAAUCGGUCUCAGUCCGGAUUGGAGUCCGCAACUCGACUCCAUGAAGUUGGAAUCGCUAGUAAUCGUGGAUCAGCAUGCCACGGUGAAUACGUUCCCGGGCCUU
rnacentral:rRNA from 1 species